AUUUGUUUUUCUUCAAAUGUUCAUACGUAUACUUCAAAUGUUUUGUAAAUAGAUAUGCGCAAUUACGUAUAAUCAAAUAUAUUUAUUCAGCUAAAUCCGUAUAUUUUUAUUUAUUAUUUUUACUGCCCAGUCAAUAGGUUAUGGGCCCAAAUUACGAAAGAAACAAUAAAUAAUUAAGUAAAGUAUAGUUAAAUUGAAAAAGCAUGUGAAUUAAUUAUCCGGCCUUGAGCAAACAUGAAAUAUAACCAUGAUGAAGAAUUAAACAGUGCGUAUUAAUAAGCUGAAAAGAUUAGAAAAUUGGAGCUCAUGGAAAUUUCAAGUGCGCGUUACUUUAAAAUCCUCCGAUGCAUAGAAAAUAGUUACAGAUGAAUCAGUUCUUCCUGUACCAAGAGAUGAUGCGAUAAAUCGAGCACGCAAUAAAAUUCUAGAUAAAAUUCUAGAUAAAAUACAGUUCAACGCAUAAUCGCUACAUCAAUGGAUGAAAAACCACUUUUGCAUAUUAUCAACUGUGAAUCAGCUAAGGAUAUGUAGAAAAAGCUGAAAUCUGUUUACGAACAAAAAUCUAAUACUAGUAUACAUAUGCUGUUGCAGCAAUGGUAUCUGGUACAGUUAUCAGAAGGAAUCGGGCGAUGAUGUCGCUACUCACAUCAUAAAGCUCGAGAAUCUUGCACAUCGGUUAUAAACUCUGGUGUGUGGGAAUCAACCAAAGAAAGAACUCUCAAAAAUCUUAUUUCAAGACUCAUCAUUGAAGAAACAAGGAUAAGAACCAAAGAAAUAAAACAUUGCUUUUACUGCUAAUAAGCAUCAAUUGAAAAAAAUUUCAAAAAAGACAACAUUAGAGAAGGCAUUAUUGCUACAGGACAUUGGAUCAAGGAAUGUAGAUACUAAAAAGCAACAACAUCAAACAAAAAAUAGACAGGAAAAAAAGGAGAGGCAUUUGUUAGAGCCAUAUCUAAAAAAUAUAAUUUAAAAACAUCUAGUGAUGGCAUAUGGAUUUGGGUACGACUGAAUACAUAUUAAAUUGUCGCGAGUGAUUCUUGUCAUAUAAAAAAUUUGACAGUAAAGAAUAUUAAGAUAGACGAUAGAAAAUAUAUUCAAGCAAUUGGAUCAGAAGAUAUCGACAUUGUUUUCAAUAGAAAAGAAUGAGUGUGAAAGUAUUUCAGGAAUGUUUUUCACAUACCAGAACUGAGUUUCAAUGUUCUCUCAACAGAUACAGUUCUUGAUAAGCUAUAUGACUAUACUUUGACGAUAAAAUAUUCAGAUUCAUGAAGAAUUUAUAAAAACUUCAUUUUAGAAGAAAAAUUAUGAUUAUUGGAUGAAAACAUUAUGUUGAAAACAUAAUGUACAAGAAACAGAUUUGAACAAUCUUCUUAUUCCAAACUAAGUCGGAAAGCUGCCAAAACAACUCACGAUAUCAACGAGGCGUUUGGUUCUGGGACCAUUAACAAACGUACUGCACAAUGAUGAUUUAAAAGAUUUCGAAGCGGUGAUGAGAGUUUUGAAGACUAUGAGCGCAGUGAUCAGCCAUCAGAUGUUGACAACAAUGAUCUGAAAGUUCUAAUUGAAGUCAAUCCUUAGAUACAAGCAUUCGGGAGCUUACUUUUGAAUUAACGCAUACAACAAUCUAUAACCAACAAUCUAUAGAAAAUUGGAAAAACAAAAAAGCUUGAUAAAUAGAUAAAUUAAAUGAACAUAAAAAAAAUCAUCAUUUUGAAGUGUCGUCUGUCCUUCUCUUGCGCAAUAAAAUGAUCCAUUUUUCAAACGAAUUGUAAUGUAUAAUGAAAAAUAUUAUAAAAUUCUUUAUAACAAUCGGCGACGAUCGGUUCAGUGAUUACGACAAAACUCCACAAUACUUCCCAAAGCCAAAGUUUCAUCAAAAGAAGAUCAUGAUGACAGUUUGAUAGUCUGUAGCCGGUUUAAUUCAUUAUAGUUUCCUAAAUCGUGAUGAAAUCAUUAUAGCUGAAACUAUCACCAAAUUGACGAAAUGCAUAAAACGCAUGAAAAAACUUCAACAUUUGUGUCCAGGUUAACAGAAAUAGUCCUAUCUUUCUCCACACAUAUUUGGUCAUAUAUCGCCCAACCGACCUUUCAAAAACAAUUGAACAAUUGAGCUACGAAACUCUAUUUUAUUCAUCAUAUUUGUUAAAUCUCGUCCACCGAUUAGUAUUUUUUUAAGCACUUCAACAACUUCUUUCAUGGGAAAUGCUUCAAAGAAGAGAAAUGUUGAAAUGAAACACCAUUCAAUGAGUUUAUCGCUUCCAGGAUUCCAGAAUUUUAUUCAACCAGAAUAACAAAAUUUAUUUCUCAAAAGUGCAUUGAUUGGAAUGAUAUUUAUUUUAAUUAAUAAAUUUUGUUUGAGGCGAAAUAUGAAUAUUUGAAUUUAAUAGUUAAAAACUGCAAGAACUUUCUUUUUAACUUAAUAAUAUCACAUGCAAUUCAGUUUUAUCUUUUAAAAAAAUAUUAUUAAAUAUAAUUAGUAAGAAAUAAAUUCAAUAUGCUUAAUUUGCCUAUAUAUCAAUCAUAAAUAAAUAUUUAUAUAGUAUAAAAAAUAAUUUAAUUUAAUAUGUAUUAAUAUAAUGUGAAUUAAAAAGAGUUUAAAUUUUAAUAAAAAAAUUAAUACUAAUUAUUUACAGAAAAAAAUUUGUAACAUAUGAUAAUAUAUAAUAUGUAUAAACCGGCCAGAAAUAGAUCAUUUCACUCAAUUUUGUUUUUUUUAAUAUAAAUUUAUACUGUUUAAAAUUUAACUUAAUGAAUGAUCAUUUUUAUAUGUAAACCUUUAUAUUUUUUUUUUCUUGUUUUUAAUAUAUUCUACAAAUAUAAUUUUAUAAAUGCAUAACAUUGUAUAAAUUAUGGAUUUAAUUAAAUGAUAAUAUUUAUUAAUAAUAUAUAAUUAUAUUAAUAAAUUUAAUUAUAUUUAUACUAUAUGUUUAAUUAUUAUAUAUAAUUAUUAAUUACAAACUAAUAAAUAAUUUAUAUGUACUAUAUAUUGUAGGCAGAAAAGUGUAAGUAUAUUAAAGAAAUAAAUAUAAGAAACAAAAUUUUAAAUUUUGCAUUUUGUAAAACUAUCAUAAUUCAAAAAUUAAAGAAUUUUUGAUUUAUAUAUUUAUACAUUCUGAAUACUACAUGGUGAAUACUAUAAUUCAUAUCAAAUAUUAUGCUGGUAAGUUAGCAUUCAAUUUGGACGAGAAUGAGGACAUAAAAAAAACUAAAACUUUGUAAACUAUUUGUCCCACCAAAUGUAACACAUUGAUAUAUGCUAUUAAUAGUUUAUAAAUAAUUAAUAGUAAGUUAAUAAAUAUAUAAUGAAUGAAUAAAUUCAAUUAAUUAUAAGAAUAUUAAUUAUAAAUGUGAAUUGAUUAUAUGUUUGUAUAAUUUAAUAAAUAAAUCUCAUAAAUAUUUUAUAUAUCUA